GGGCCGCGCGCGCCUCAGUCUCAGACCCCUUGCCCCGCGGCCAGGCGGUGCUCUCCCUCCAAGAUCUAGGUCCCCGCGGGCGGGCAGGAAGUGAGGGCUCCGGAAACCUCCGCAGAUGCUCUUGGGGCACCCGGCUGGGCUGCGCGGCCACCUUCGAGGGGGUGGGGGCGGGUUCCGGCUUAGGGGACCGACGCCUGCCACCCCCUCCGCGCUGGGUCCUUCCAGGCUUCUUGCUGCGGUGCGGUCCCAUCCAUUUCUGCAAGCCUUAGCCAGCCUCAUUCGCAGUCCAAGCUGGAACCCCGCGCCGCGCUGCGACCCGCGGGUAUCAUGCAGGUGCAGCAGACACUGAGACCUGCUGGCCGGGAACCGGCCGAGCACUCUGAAGUCCAGCCUCCUAGCCGAUCCAGGGGUCUCCCCUCAGGGCGCAGUAAAACCCUCAAGAACCAUUCCAGGCCUCUGGAAGUGAGCAGAGGGAAGCCAGCUGCCCCUUACUGCCCUGUGCUCCACGGCCUGUGGAUGAGGCUUGUGUGUCCUCUAGGUGCUACCUGCACAGCUUUUGGGAAGGGGCUGAUGGGGUUCUGCACCCUGGCUCUGCCCCUUCAUAGCUGUGUGACCCCAGACAAGCCCCUGGGCCUUUCUAUGCCUUGGUUUCCUCAUUGUCAAUGAGGCCGCAAUAAAACCAUCUCUUAGAGUUG